GGCUGAGUCUUAGCACAACCAUCCCCACUCGGCAGCUGGGGAGACCAAUCCAAGCCAAGUAACACUCUGGACCAAGUUCAGGAGCAGGCGCGCACAGGCGCACUGGCUCCAACUGGCACUCUGGGAGGAGGUGUGGAAUACCAGCUCUGAGGAGCCCUAUGUGACACAGUAAGGGGUACAAAUCAAGUCCACGCACACAAACGCUAGCUUCCAUCUGGCUCCAGGGACCUAAAUGUGAAGUCUGAGAGACUUUUCACUUUUUUCUUCCUGUCCUUAAAAAAAAACAGUACCUUACUUGCAAGAUCCUUCAAGGUAGGAUUAGCAAAGAUGGUUUCAUUCGACAUCAGUAGAGAACUGCAGCUCAGGAUCUACAACCAUGGCUCCUAAUAAAUAUUUUCGGGAUGAAGCAAUAGAAGAAUCGGAGCUGGUAAGGCAGUGAGAGAACAAGCUUGAGCAUUCCUGUCAUGCAUGACAGCAAAGCAGAUCCAAGUAUGCACCCCAGGAAUCUACCCCUCUCUUCUGGGUUUUGAUGAACUUUAGGGACACCUCAGGUCUCAGCUCCGCCGGGAAGCCUUCUGCAACCACACGAUGUUUCGUUAAUGCCUUGCUCCCCUGAACUGAAAUAUUUAAGCCUGAUGGAGACUGCCUGCCAAGUCCAGCCCAAGUUGUGGAUCCGCAGACUUGUGAGUUGCACGCAAGGCUGUUGCUUUAAGCUGCUAUAUCUUAGGAUGGUUUCUCUGCAAACGCGAACAGACAGACGCGGCUCCCUGUCUGGUCAGCCUGCAGAAUGUUCUCCACAGGGCAACCGGCGAUCUUUUGAAACUAAAGACCAAAGCACACCUCUGCCCACACCGGCUUCCCCUCCAUCAUCAGCCACCACUCAUUUUCAAGUCGGAUGAGCCUUUGGCUCUUCCCCGAACAAGCCCUGCAUAUUCCCACCUCAAGACACCUGCAUGUGCAAUUCCCUCCAUCUAGAAAGCUCCUUUCUUAGAACCACACCUGAUUCCCUCUCUCACUGCAAGGAGGUUCUCUACUCAAACAUCACCACCUCCAGGCAGCCUUCUCAGAUAACUCACUCUGAAGUACCCUCUUCCGCAGUCUCUCCCCCCUUUCUCUCCUCUGCAUUCCUUGGUGUGGCGCUCACAUUACAUCUGCACUGGUUCACUGGCUUCUUUUCCAUCGCUCUGAACUGAAACCUUCUGAGAGCAAGGAUCCCAGUGCCGCACUGUCCUCGCGCCUAUAGUGCUGAAAACCACGCCAAACUCAGAGCAUGACUCAGGAAGGAGUUGAGGAUUGAAAAUGUGAUCGAUUCAGUUUCAAUGCUUGUGAGAUACCAAGUCUGGUGUUUUAAGAACUCCAGAUUGUCAAGAGACGUACACAAGUGUAAAUGCAGAAUUGGAGAAGGGAAAAGAGGCGCCAAUAGGAAGGACAGUGGAGGAUGCCAAGUCCAUGAAGGAUGAACAAAAAAAAGAAAGCAAGUAAUACUGGGGAAACCAUCCACAUCCAAGGCAACCACCACACCCUAAACAAAAUACCCAAACGACUCAUCCCACAGUCAGCAAAGGUACUUUGUGAGUACAGCGUUAUUAAAAAGGCACUAACAUUAAAAC